GGAGUCUAGCAUGUGCGCGAGUCAUUGGGACUUUGCGAAACCUAAAGGCGAAAUGAAAGUGGAGGCGCGCCUAGCGCGCGCCUAGGGAGGAUGGGCCGCUCGCGGAGCGGCCCCGCACUCCCGGGGCGUUUCGUUCUCAUUGCGAGAUGAGGCGCACCCAGAGCGUACACGCUGGGACCCGAAAGAUGGUGAACUAUGCCUGGUCAGGACGAAGUCAGGGGAAACCCUGAUGGAGGUCCGUAGCGAUUCUGACGUGCAAAUCGAUCGUAGGAACUGGGUAUAGGGGCGAAAGACUAAUCGAACCAUCUAGUAGCUGGUUCCCUCCGAAGUUUCCCUCAGGAUAGCUGGCGCUCGCUUUGCGAGUCUCAUCCGGUAAAGCGAAUGAUUAGAGGCAUUGGGGUCGAAACGGCCUCAACCUAUUCUCAAACUUUAAAUGGGUGAGAUCUCCGGCUUGCUUGAAAGCUGAAGCCGCGAGAUCGUUUGACGAGGAUCAGGGUGCCAAGUGGGCCAUUUUUGGUAAGCAGAACUGGCGCUGUGGGAUGAACCAAACGCAGAGUUAAAGCGCCCAAAUCGACGCUUAUGGGAUACCAUGAAAGGCGUUGGUAACUUAAGACAGCAGGACGGUGGCCAUGGAAGUC
rnacentral:rRNA from 1 species